rnacentral:lncRNA from 1 species
AUUCUCUAACAACUACCUACACUCUCGCUUCAGUGUCUCUACACUGCAGACUCGAGGCUUAUUUAUCCGAAGAAAGUGAUCCGUACAUCAGUCUAUCUAGAUCAAUCACCAUCUCCAUAAUGAUCCUACGAUCGAGAGCAAUUUAUGAAUUAACUACCAGUGAUAUAUGCCUUAAAUUCUUAACUUUUUGAGAAUAUGUGUCAUCAUCUUGUUAAUCCAUUGGCUGAUUCAUGGACAUAUAGACAACAUGAAUGAAAAUAAACUACCAUCAAGUACAAAAUCAUGUCUUAGAAAUAUGAUAUGCUCACCCA